rnacentral:rRNA from 2 species
UAGGGAAUAUUAGAAAUGGACGAAAGUCUGAUCUAGCAACACCGCGUGUGCGAAGAAGGCCUUCGGGUCGUAAAGCACUUUUUGGAAGGAAUAGGAAGGAAUGUACUUCCAGAAUAAGUCUCGGCUAACUACGUGCCAGCAGCCGCGGUAACACGUAGGAGGCAAACGUUAUCCGGAUUUACUGGGCGUAAAGCGCGUGUAGGUGGUACUGUAAGUAGGGCGUGAAAGCUCCUGGCUCAACUGGGAGAGGCCGUUCUAAACUACAGAACUAGAGGAUGGUAGAGGGAGGUGGAAUUCCAGGUGUAGCGGUGGAAUGCGCAGAUAUCUGGAGGAACACCGGUGGCGAAGGCGGCCUCCUGGACCAUUCCUGACACUCAGACGCGAAAGCUAGGGUAGCAAACGG